rnacentral:rRNA from 1 species
AUUGAACGCUGGCGGAAUGCCUUACACAUGCAAGUCGAACGGCAGCACGGACUUCGGUCUGGUGGCGAGUGGCGAACGGGUGAGUAAUACAUCGGAACGUGCCCAGUCGUGGGGGAUAACGUAGCGAAAGCUACGCUAAUACCGCAUACGAUCUACGAAUGAAAGCGGGGGAUCGCAAGACCUCGCGCGCUUGGAGCGGCCGAUGGCAGAUUAGGUAGUUGGUAGGGUAAAGGCCUACCAAGCCGACGAUCUGUAGCUGGUCUGAGAGGAUGAUCAGCCACACUGGGACUGAGACACGGCCCAGACUCCUACGGGAGGCAGCAGUGGGGAAUUUUGGACAAUGGACGCAAGUCUGAUCCAGCCAUUCCGCGUGCAGGAUGAAGGCCCUCGGGUUGUAAACUGCUUUUGUACAGAACGAAAAGGCUCUGGUUAAUACCUGGGGCUCAUGACGGUACUGUAAGAAUAAGCACCGGCUAACUACGUGCCAGCCGCCGCCGUAA